CGGCGGUCCGCUUCUGGGCCGCGUGUUCUGAAAGUUUUGUGGACCAGACGUUGUGCGCAGAGGUGCGCAUUCCGCAGUCCUGCGGGGGAGCUGAAAGGGGGACGGCCCACCUUGAAUGUCUUUGAAAAAUGUUUUUAAAAUGUGGGGGAAAGGUCAUGUUGUGACGACAUGCACAAAGAUGCAGCGCCAGACCACUGGAGCACAGUGUCACAACGAGAAUGCUGACAUUGACACAACCCACCUGUCUUACUCAGAUUUCCCCGUCUGACCGGUAUUCACGUGUGUGCAUAUUUAGUUUCACACAGUUUUAUCACACAUGUCAGUUUGAUCGCCAAAGUGAAGAGAAGACACUGAACACUUAAAUCACAAGGAUGCCCCCUGUUGGGCUUUCACAGCCACACCCACUUCCCUCCCUGCCCCGUCCUUCACCAAGUCCCUAACCCCUGGUGAUUGCUAAUCUGUUCUGUUUCUAAAAUUUUGUCAUUUCAAAAAUGUUUUGUGAGUGGAAUAAUAUAGCGUGUAACCUUUUGGGAGUGACUUUUCCCCCCCUCCCUCAGGAUAAUUCUCUGGAGGUUUAUUCAAGUUGUUGUAUCGAUAAUUUGUUUCUUUUUAUUGCUGAGCAGUUUUCCGUAGUAUGGAUGUGCCCAGGUUUGUCACCCAUAGAAGUACUUCUGGGCUGUUUCCAGUUGAGGGCUAUUACAGAUAAAGCUGAUAGGAACAUUCAUA